rnacentral:rRNA from 1 species
GACGAACGCUGGCGGCGUGCUUAACACAUGCAAGUCGAACGGUGAAGCGCCUUCCUUUUUGCUGGGUGUGGAGGAGUGGCGAACGGGUGAGCAACACGUGAGUAACCUGCCCCCUCCGUCUGGACAACCGCAUGAAAGUGUGGCUAACACGGGAUAUUCUGGGUCUGUCGCUUGAUGGGUCUGGGAAAGAUAUUGUUUCGGUGGGGGAUGGGCUCGCGGCCUAUCAGCUUGUUGGUGGGGUGAUGGCCUAACAAGGCGGUGACGAGUAGCCGGCCUGAGAGGGUCGGCCGUCCUACAGGGAAUGAGAGACCGACCCUCCUACUGCAGGCAGCAGCAGGGAAGAGUCUUGCACGAUGGGAGCGAGCGUGAUGCAGCGCCGCCGCGUGAGAGAUGGCGGCCUUCGGGUUGUACUCCUCUUUUGCCGGUGAAGCAGGCCUGCCUCAUUUAUGGGUGUCUUGACGGUAGCUGGUCAAGAAGCGCCGGCUAACUACGUG